rnacentral:tRNA from 1 species
CAAAGUGUAGCUUAACUAAAGCCUUUCGUUUACACCGAAAAAAUACUUGUGCAACCCAAGUCACUUUGAA